rfam:Ovis aries breed Texel chromosome 3, whole genome shotgun sequence.
GGAUGUGAGGGUGAUCUGGUUUUGACAUCUGUCACCCCACUGAUCUCUGAGGAUGAUUCAGCUGAUCUGGCUGACUUUGUGGGUGUCUCUUUCCCCCCUCAUCAUUCCAUGUGUGUCCCUCUCAAAGCUGCACACUUGGUUGAAGAGGACAGCCAUCCCUGAUAGAGGAGGACCGGUCUUCAGUCAAGGGUAUCUAGUGGAACAGAUCAUUUUGAUUCUGAUGCUUUUAAUGGGAAACUUUCAAAACCAUUCAACAUUUUAAGCUUUUCAAUUAUAGCUGCCAUUUUUU